rnacentral:rRNA from 1 species
ACGAACGCUGGCGGCGUGCCUAACACAUUGCAAGUCGAGCGGAGGGGAAAGGAGCUUGGCUUCUUGGACCUCAGCGGCGGACGGGGUGAGUAACACGUGGGGUAACCUGCCCCUUGAGAGGGAGAUAACAGGGUCGAAAAGGCCUGCUAAUACCGCAUAACGCUAAGAAGCUGCAUGGGCGUCUUAGCCAAAGGUUAAUUCCGCUCAAGGAUGGGGCCCCGCGGCCCCAUUAGCUAGUUGGUGAGGUAAUGGCUCACCAAGGCGACGAUGGGUAGCCGGGCCUGAGAGGGGUGGUCGGCCACACUGGGACUGAGACACGGCCCAGACUCCCUACGGGAGGCAGCAGUGGGGAAUAUUGCGCAAUGGGGGAAACCCCUGACGCAGCGACGCCGCGUGAGCGAUGAAGGCCUUCGGGUUGUAAAGCUCUGUCUUCCCUGACGAUAAUGACGGUAAGGGAGGAGGAAGCCACGGCUAACUACGUGCCAGCAGCCGCGGUAAUACGUAGGUGGCGAGCGUUGUCCGGAAUUACUGGGCGUAAAGGGUGCGUAGGCGGCACUUUAAGUGGGGAUGUGAAAUCCCUGGGGCUCAACCCCAGGAACUGCAUUCCAAACUGGAGAGCUAGAGUGCAGGAGAGGAAAGCGGAAUUCCCAGUGUAGCGGUGAAAUGCGUAGAGAUUGGGAGGAACACCAGUGGCGAAGGCGGCUUUCUGGACUGUAACUGACGCUGAGGUACGAAAGCGUGGGGAGCAAACAGGAUUAGAUACCCUGGUAGUCCACGCUGUAAACGAUGGGUACUAGGUGUAGG